AAAAUACAAAUGGGCAGCUAUUUUUACGGGGCUUGUUUUUUAGUCCUCUGCUACAAGAUAGAGAAUGGCAAGUAAGAUUCUCAUGGAGAAUGGCAAGUAAUGGAACCCCAUUUGCACUGUUGUCGUAGCCAACUGUCGCCAAAAGCAAGGUAAAAAUGCAGCAACUUUUGAUUGGUCUCUCUCCUUUCAGAGUCCUUAGAAGCUUUGAUUUUGGCCGAUGAUUGCCAGACUUUUGUCAAGAACCGAAUGCUGGUCAGGAACUGUUGCAUUGAUUAGCCAGGGUUUUUAAGACAUUAUCUUGUAUAUUUGCCGGGGAAGUCUGUUGCAUGGACUCCUGCAUAGUGUAAAUUGAAAAGUUGGAUGCUGGUCAGGGACCAUUCAGGAGAGCCCAGUAUGAAUGCAUUCAAAUAAUUCUAAAUAAAUCUUCACAUUAUAUGUGAAGAUUCUAAUCCACCACUAUAAACUCUAAUGUCAUAGACUACUAACCUACCUAAAUAAGAAAUGAAAACCUUAAGCCCUUAUAAUAAUUUCUACCGCAUCAAAC
rnacentral:lncRNA from 1 species